rnacentral:rRNA from 1 species
CCUACGGGUGGCUGCAGUGGGGAAUAUUGGACAAUGGGGGCAACCCUGAUCCAGCCAUGCCGCGUGUGUGAAGAAGGCCCUCGGGUUGUAAAGCACUUUCAGUGAGGAAGAACGCCUGGUGGUUAAUACCCAGCAGGAAAGACAUCACUCACAGAAGAAGCACCGGCUAACUCCGUGCCAGCAGCCGCGGUAAUACGGAGGGUGCGAGCGUUAAUCGGAAUUACUGGGCGUAAAGCGCGCGUAGGUGGCUUGAUAAGCCGGUUGUGAAAGCCCCGGGCUCAACCUGGGAACGGCAUCCGGAACUGUCAAGCUAGAGUGCAGGAGAGGAAGGUAGAAUUCCCGGUGUAGCGGUGAAAUGCGUAGAGAUCGGGAGGAAUACCAGUGGCGAAGGCGGCCUUCUGGACUGACACUGACACUGAGGUGCGAAAGCGUGGGUAGCAAACAGGAUUAGAUACCCCAGUAGUC